ACCAAAUCUGUUAACGCUUCCUGUUUGGGCCGGAGUUGAUAACUACUCGCUCCCGUCACCGCCGCUCUCUCUCUCUCUUGAUUCACCACUCACUUCC